rnacentral:rRNA from 1 species
AGUAGAACGCUGAAGAGAGGAGCUUGCUCUUCUUGGAUGAGUUGCGAACGGGUGAGUAACGCGUAGGUAACCUGCCUGGUAGCGGGGGAUAACUAUUGGAAACGAUAGCUAAUACCGCAUAAAAUGGAUUAUCGCAUGAUAAUCAAUUGAAAGGUGCAAAUGCAUCACUACCAGAUGGACCUGCGUUGUAUUAGCUAGUUGGUGGGGUAACGGCUCACCGAGGCGACGAUACAUAGCCGACCUGAGAGGGUGAUCGGCCACACUGGGACUGAGACACGGCCCAGACUCCUACGGGAGGCAGCAGUAGGGAAUCUUCGGCAAUGGACGGAAGUCUGACCGAGCAACGCCGCGUGAGUGAAGAAGGUUUUCGGAUCGUAAAGCUCUGUUGUAAGAGAAGAACGAGUGUGAGAGUGGAAAGUUCACACUGUGACGGUAUCUUACCAGAAAGGGACGGCUAACUACGUGCCAGCAGCCGCGGUAAUACGUAGGUCCCGAGCGUUGUCCGGAUUUAUUGGGCGUAAAGCGAGCGCAGGCGGUUAGAUAAGUCUGAAGUUAAAGGCUGUGGCUUAACCAUAGUACGCUUUGGAAACUGUUUAACUUGAGUGCAAGAGGGGAGAGUGGAAUUCC